CCCGAGCCUGCUGCCAGCCUCAGUGCUGACUUUUUCCUCUCCUUCUGGCUCAAUAGGAGAAAAACGCUAACUAAAAGUCACAAAGCAAAUCCCGACUUUUUGAAAGGUAGCUCAAUGGGACCAUUUACCACCGUUUCCUACCUCACUGCUUGUUGACCCCUCUAUGAGACAAGCAAAGUGACUUUUCUCUUUCUGCCACAAUGAGAGUCUGUAGUUCCUUUGAUGGCUACUUCAGACACCAAAGACACCAAGACAGCAUGAAUAUGACAUGGCUUGCUUCUCCGUUUGCUAUCUAUGCUGCCCACAUUUUACCCUGACAUAAUUUAUACAAACACACCGUGUUUGUAUAAACAAAGCCAGAAGCAGAACAGUAAGAAAA
ensembl:lncRNA